ensembl:lncRNA
GUUUAUUGGCCCAUAAACGUAAUUCAGGGUGAGGAACUAACUAACAUCAAAUUAAAAAAGUGAAAUUCUCCUUUAAUGGUCUUGGGUUAAUGAGUGAAGUUUUUUGUCAGGCCAGUGAAGUUCGGAAAAAGAAAAGCUGCUCAGCAGGGAAGCCAAUAACUCCUUGGCACCCCUCCUCUCAUUCCUCAGUUUGAUCAUAGGUCUAAAAGACUAUAGACAGAAGACAAUGAAGAGGAAUAUGAAGCACCUGCAAUACUAUCAAUUUCUAUUCUGCUACCUUCUGCUGACUAUCAAAGAUCAUGCACUCUGUGUCAAAGAAAUCACAAUUACUCCGGCUGAACCACAUGUCAAGCUGGGAGAUGCUGUGACCCUAACCUGUGAAACAACCUGUGAAGGCAAACCACAGUGGAAGCAACUAGACGACAGUGAUGCUGAAAUCACUUUCGAUGGGAAAAAAAGUUUUCUAAAGAUUGCAGCUGUACAGCUGGAUCACCAACAAACAUAUACCUGCACUGUGGCCAAAUGUCUUACACGGAAGAAGGAAUCAGUCAAGCUCAUCGUUGACAGUCUUUCCACAGAAGGAGUAGAUGUUGAGGUCAUUAGCAUUACGAAAAAAGAUACCAGAGUUACCCCAGAUCCUUUAAAAACAACAGUUAAGGCUGAUGUACUUCCAGUUCACACCACAGAAAACCCAACAGAGAUGUUGCCAACAACGACAUGGCCCGCUACUAUUAAUGCACUUAAGGAAAAAGGAAUAGAUGUUGAGGUCAGUAGCAUUACAAAAAAGCUACCAGAGGUUGCGUCCACAUCAUUUCUCCCUACCAAAACAAGAGAUCCACAAGUGGAAGAUCCUUCAAAAACAACAAUCAAGACUGAUAUAUUUCCAGUUCACACCACAGAAAAUCUAACAAAAAUGUUGCCAACAACAUUACUGCCCACCACUAUUAAUCAUCUAAAAGACAAAGGAAUAGAUGUUGAGGUCAGUAGCAUUACAAAAAAGCUACCAGAGGUUGCGUCCACAUCAUUUCUCCCUGCCAAAACAAGAGAUCCACAAGUGGAAGAUCCUUCAAAAACAACAAUCAAGGCUGAUAUAUUUCCAGUUCACACUACAGAAAAUAUAACUAAAAUGUUGCCAACAACAUUACUGCCCACCACUAUUAAGCCUCUGAAAGACACAGGGGCAGCUUCCAGCUCCACUAUAAUGGCCAUGGCUGUAGUGGGCUCAGUGGCAACUCUCUCAUUCCUGGGAUUCUUGAUUCACCUGAUCCGCCGGAAGAAACGCAAGUUGUCCCCUAAUGACAUGUAGAACCACCUGGAUGACUGCUGACCAAAAUUGCAUCAGCUUCAUCUCAUUUCAAGCUUUUUUUGUCCAAUAUAUUUAAUGCUAUUAUAACACUCCUUCAUACAGCUUUCCCUGCAUCAGCUUAAACCUAAUAUAAUACACUGAUCAAAAAAAUUUAAGGAACACUUAAAUCAUACAUCGGGUCUCGAUGAACGACAUAUGUUAAAGAUCAUAACCUUUACUGUACAUUGUGUAAUUAUCACGGUCGUAGGUAUGCAUGAUAUGUGGCGCAGAGCGAGUAAAGGGAAACAUCCUUUUAUUAUAACGCAAAAAAUAACAAAAGGAGAGGCAAACCUAACACAAACAAUGAUCCACAAGUGAAAAGUCCAAAAGGGAAACUUAAAUAGGGUCCCCAAUUAGAGGCAACAUGCGGCAGCUGCUGCCUCUCAAUCACCAACCGAUUGAGGGCUGGAUUCAAACUGAAAAUCAAAGUAAACAACUAAAAUCACAGGCUGUUCCAACUUAAUGUGACUCAUAAUGUGACCCAGUAGUGUGUGCCUGUAUGCAAUGCCGACAAUGUCUGGGCGUGCUCCUGAUGAGAUGGCGGAUGGUGUCCUUGGUGAUCUCCUCCCAGACCUGGAUCAGGGCAUCAGUGAACUCCUGGACAGUCUGUGGCACUACUUGAUAGGAUUCAGGUCUGGGAUUCAGGUCUGAGAACGUGAAACCGGUAAUGCUAGAUGAUGUUGUAAGCAACGUUCACCACAGCGUCUCCAGACUCUUUCAUGUCUGUCACGUGCUCAAUUUGAACCUGUGCUCAUCUGGGAAAAGAAUGUAACGCCAAUGGCGGACCUGCCAAUUCUGGUGUUCUCUAGUGAAUGCCAAUCGAACUGCAUGGUGCUGGGCUGUGAGCAUAGGUCCCACUAGAGGACGUCAGACCCUCAAGCCACCCUCAUGGAGUCUGUUUCUGACAAUUUGGUCAGAAAUAUGCACACAUUAGCCUGCUGGAAGUCUGGCUCUGGCAGUGCUCCUCCUGUUCCUCCUCACACAAAGGAGCAGGUACCGGUCCUGCUGCUGGUUUGAUGCUCUUCUAUGGCCCUGUACAGCUCUCCCCGUGUAACGGCUCGUCUCCUGGUAUCUCCUCCAUGUUCUUGAGACUGUACUGUGAGACACAGCAAACCUUCUUGCGACGGCACGUAUGGAUUUGCUAUUCUGGAAGAGCUGGACUGCCUGUGCAACCCGAGUGGGCUGUAGGUACCGCCACAUGCUACCAGUAGUGACAACCACACUAGCAAAAUGCAAAAAUAAAGAAGAAUCAGUCAGGAAGGAUAAGGAGAGAGCAAUUGUCUGUUGCCACCACCUGCAAACCAUUCCCUUUUUGGGGGUUGUCUAGCCGUUGCCUCUCCAGUAAACCUGUUGUCUCUUUCAUUUGCACCAAUGCAGUGACAUUGAUUCACAAUUGAUAUCCCUCAAAUUCACUUGGUGUUAUACUGUGAUGAUUGUGUUCCCUUAAUUUUUUAGCAGUGUAUUUGCUAUGGUACUACCUGAUAAAAUUAAGGACAAUGUACAAAGAAUGACACCCAAGAAGAACAGUCUAAUUUGGAAAAAAAUAUGUAACUAACAUGAAGUUUGAUUAAUAUCAUAUCCAUAUAAAAAGAAAAAUAUAGCAACAUUUUUGAUUUCCUGAGGUUUAUUUUAAAUAGACAUUCCUGUUUAGGUAUUUCUGUUGUGAUGUUAACUUUUUUUAUACAUUUCAUUAUACACCGAUGCAGGAGCGUCACCAGACCUGGGCUUUCAUUUAAUUCUACAUGUUAUAUUUUUAAGUGGAACAUUAUAUCAAAUAGACAUGACUAAAUGGCAUCUGUAGCAACAUUACCAUGAAAAAGCCUAAAUAAGUUAAUAAAGCAUGUGAAUUUAAACACAAACAGUAAUUUCUACUACUACUUGUUUUCUUUUGUUUUUUGCAUACACUGUGGUAUAAGCGGGACAGACCUUUUUCUGUAACAUCACCUUGGCAAAAAUGAACUCCUUCCAUUCCAUUGUCUGAUGCAACUAGAAUCCUGCAGGAAUGUCAUCUGUUGUGAAGGAAUCAUGCAGGUGUCCUGCAGGAAUCCUGAAGGAUUGACCUUGAUGAGAGAUUAUCCUGCAGAAAUCCAGAGAAUAUUGCACAACCCUGAAAAUUCAUGCAGGAAUCAAAAUCCUGCAGACUUCUAAAUUCCUGCAGGAUAUGACGAUCCCUGCAGGAAUAAAAAUUCCUGAAAAUGAAUAUUCUAGCAUGAAUCACACUGUAUAUUUUAAUAAACAAGCUGGAUAUGGCAAUUCCUGCUGGACUAAAACCGUCAGGAUUUAGAUUUUCCUGCAGGACAUGUGAAAAUGUGAAUUCCUGACAAUUUCUGUCAUCUGCUCAUACUAGUCAUGUAAUAUUAAGUAUUUAAUAUCUUGCAGGUGGAUUUCAGUCACACUAAGUAGAAGCAAUAGAUUCUGGGCUAGUAUUUUUUAUUGUCUCACUCAGAAUUUGAAACAAGCACAAGAUACUUUUAGAAAACGUUUUAAAAACAGCCAUGUAACAAUACAUGAUGUAAUAACACCGCAUUAUGUAAUAACUUGACCAAAUGUAAUACAUUUUCAAUUCAUUUUGUAAUAACACCCACAUUUUUACUAAUCUGCUUCAUUUGUAAUAAUCAGCUUGAAAGCAAUUUGUACUAAAUGUCCCCGCAUUUUGUAACAAAUUAUUACAUUAUGUGGUGAUUAUUACAAAAUGUGGGAGUUGGACUUAUAAAAAAUGAAAAUGUAAUUAUAUAGUGCAUUAUGUAAUAC